rnacentral:rRNA from 1 species
ACGAACGCUGGCGGCGUGCUUCACACAUGCAAGUCGAACGGAAAGGCCCUGCUUUUGUGGGGUGCUCGAGUGGCGAACGGGUGAGUAACACGUGAGUAACCUGCCCUUGACUUUGGGAUAACUUCAGGAAACUGGGGCUAAUACCGGAUAGGAGCUCCUGCUGCAUGGUGGGGGUUGGAAAGUUUCGGCGGUUGGGGAUGGACUCGCGGCUUAUCAGCUUGUUGGUGGGGUAGUGGCUUACCAAGGCUUUGACGGGUAGCCGGCCUGAGAGGGUGACCGGCCACAUUCGGACUGAGAUACGGCCCAGACUCCUACGGGAGGCAGCAGUGGGGAAUAUUGCACAAUGGGCGGAAGCCUGAUGCAGCAACGCCGCGUGCGGGAUGACGGCCUUCGGGUUGUAAACCGCUUUCGCCUGUGACGAAGCGUGAGUGACGGUAAUGGGUAAAGAAGCACCGGCUAACUACGUG